rnacentral:tRNA from 1 species
GGCCACGUAGCUCAGCGGUUAGAGCACGGCAUUCAUAAUGCCGGAGUCGCUGGUUCAAAUCCAGCCGUGGCUACCA